rnacentral:lncRNA from 1 species
UCUCUAUUGCUAUUGUUCUUGUUCUAUUGUUCUUGUCUUUUGCUUUAGUUUAUAACAAAUAGAAAGUUUUCUUAUUUUGCUAAUGUCUUCUUGUAAGUUACACAUGAUCAAAGACUGAACAGCAGUUACUUCGAAGGAAAGAACUGAAAUCCAGCUUUUAUUGUUCUUGUUCUAUUUUUGGCCCAUGAAGUUUUGGUUCUUCAACUGUGCCCCCAUUAGUUUCAGCAACUUGUUUUUGAGGAGGCCCGUAAUUGGAGCACGCACAAUAACCAAGUGAACAAUGAUAAAUAGGGGAUACACCACAAGUCUCCUUACAAUCUGCAUCUGUCUUGCAACAACAAUAGCUCACAUUCCUUGCUUCAAUUUCAAUCUUUGGCGAAACACCUGCCAAUUUUUAAAAUUUAUAAUUAUAAUUGAUGACAUUAAGGCUUUACCAUAAUGAGCAAUGUAUGUCUAAUAUAUACAUGCAAAAAUUUCUUUUUCAUAUACCACAAAACCUUUAUCUAUGAUAAUUCACAAAAAAAAAGUUUGAUAUGACAGGAAUUACCAAUAAAUAAUAAAUAAUAUAUGGGGUAUGUAUAGUCGAUUUGACCAAGUUUCUUCCAAGUGCUUUUUCUCCCCAAAAAGUACUUUCCAACUUGAGGUGUAGUCUGUUUGGCCUAGCAUCUUCAAGCCAAAAGUAAUUUUUUUUCCUGAAAGAAAAUACUUUUUUUCUAAAAAAAAUGAAGUGUUUCGUCAAACUUUUAGAAGAAAAAAGAAAGUGUUUUAGAGGAGAAAGAAAAGUAAUUUUGGAGAAGCAGAAAAAGUUGCCUUUCUCCAAAAGUAUUUUUUGAAAAAUAUUUUUGAGAAAAAUACACUUAGAAGCAGUUUUUAUCAACUUGAUCAAACAUUAAUUGUUGCUCAGAUUUUCAAAUUAAUUAGCCAAACACAAAUUAUUUCUCAUCAAAAGUACUUUUGAAAAAAGUAAUUUUGAGAAAAGAUAAUUAUCAAAAUAAGCUGAUUUUUACAGCUUGGCCAAAUAGGCUUGUGGUUAGACAAGUUUUUUUUGAGGGAAGGGGGGUGGGGGGAUUGAGUAAAAGUGCUUUUGGGAAGAAGCAGAAAAAAUAACUUCACCUAGAGCAGAAGCUAUUAUAUAUAUAUAUAUAUAGAUACAAUUCAAGAAGAAUUGAUUCCAUAUGAAAGACAUGUAGUUUUGAACCUAUAGUUCAAAUGCUUGAAUGUUCUUUUCUUGAUAAGUAUUAAUCGUUAUAUAUAUAUAUAUAUAUAUAUAUAUAUAUAUAUAUAUUUGACUUAUGAGGUGAAUAUUUUUGUAUUUGUUAAAUUAUUUUAAAAGAAUUAAAGUACUUUUCACUUCUUCUUUUUUGUUUAAAUAAAAUAAAUUAUUAUCUUUCAGUUGGUGCAAUUUAUAUACAAGGAAGUCAUUCAUUUACUACUUUUCCCCACUAUGCAUGUCUCAAUCCACUAAAAAAGAUGAUAAAAUAAAGGUAAAAUAUAUACUUUACCAAUUGAACUUAUUUCCAAAUUUUUCUUAUGCUUUUUUUAAAUACGAAAAUAAUAUUAUGCAAUAAAAUUUAUAAAUGUAUAUCAAUUAUACACUAUUUUGGUGUUUGACCAUAUUUACUAAAAGAUUACUAUUACACACCAAUCAUCAUCUAAUACGUGCCAAAUCAAAAAAAAAAAAAAAAAAAUAAAAAAAAAANNNNNNNNNNNNNNNNNNNNNNNNNNNNNAAAAAAAAAAAAAAAAAAAAACUAAAAAAGAAACUCUGCAACCCCCCUCCCCCUCUUAUCAUCUUCUCAAAGAAAAAAAAAAUACAGAAAAGAAUCUCCCCUCCCCUCCCCUCUUCAUUUUCUCCAUCCCCAACAUAUUAUCACCAAUCCUUCCACUACAAGAACUUCUUCCGUAGCUAUAGAUUUAAUUCUUUGCCGAUUUUUAACAAUAUUUAUCACAAAUCCUUAUACAAAUUUCAAAUUCAAACUUACACCCAAAAUUUCAAACUUGUUAAUGGUGUAUUUUAAAUUUUAUCAAAACUAAUUACUUAAGUAAAGUUUUACUCAACAAUAAUUACGAAUUCAAAUUAAUUUUUAGGUCAUAGAACACCCAAAUCAACAAGACCUGAUUAAAUUCUCAAGCUUUUUUAAAAAGUCAAUAAUGAUAAUUAUUACAAUAUCGAAUAGCUCCUACAUUCUUCUUUUCUUCUUUUCCUCUUAGUCAUGGAGUUGGAGAGACGAAAUAUUAGGUGGUAGAUAAAACUAGGAUGAGGAUUAGGGACGAAGACGAACCAGAGGGUGGNNNNNNNNNNNNNNNNNNNNNNNNNNNNNNNNNNNNNNNNNNNNNNNNNNNNNNNNNNNNNNNNNNNNNNGGUGGGGGGUGGGGGGAGGGGGGAGAAAAUGCUGGAUUUUGAGAUUAGGGAAGAAGACAUGGGUUAUAUAUAUUUUUUUAAUUUAAAGAAAAUAAUUUAAAAAGGGAAAAAUUUAAAAAAAAAACUUAAUUUCAGGUGAAUGUUUUAGUUGUCACGCGCCUUUUCUAUGUGUAAUAUACGUGUGCGACACAUGGCAAAAGAGAUGUGUAAUUAAUAUACUUUUAAAAGUUUUAGUAUAUAAUAGUAUUCCCAUGUUUAACAAGAGUAUAAGAGAUAUUUGAGUAUAAAAUCGAUGGAUAAAGUAUAAAUUUUUGGAAAAUAAUGUACAAUUUAAAGAGGAAAAGACUUACAAAGUCCGAUCACCAUGAAGGUAAGAAGAAAAGUCAUCACUUUGUAAACCAUAUCUAAACAACUGGUCUACCGUUAGACAAUUAAGUUACUU